rnacentral:lncRNA from 1 species
CGACCCGCGCGGGGGGGCCCACGGAUCAAUUUUCGCACCGGGGCCCCAUGGAUCAUGUGUAUGCCACUGGCUGAGAUUAUCAAAUUUGAUGAUCUCAGGCAAGAAGGCUUUAGUGGGGGCUGGGUCAGUCGCGAGGAGACACAAACGGCGCUAAAAAAAAGGUGAGUAAAUCAACCGUUUUAAUGGAGGUUUAGGAGAGCUGUAAAUGUAAUCUUAAAUAAAAAUACACUUUUCUUAUAAGUCAGCAACCAGUUCACAAUGCCACCACAUGAGUUACAUCCUCGGAGACCACCUCUGUCUCUAUCGAGGUCAAUUUCCCGAAGUUGUAAAAACGCUCUUUAUGAGACUAUUUUGAUGUCUUUUGGUUUAACUUUUUUUGAAGAAUAGUGUUUUAGAGAAGACUAUGCUUUAGUGUUCACCGAUCUAUCUAUUAUUAUCCGUAAUUAGCCAUGACAGAUUAAACUACAAAAAUAUAUUUGCCCAGAGAUGAUUUGGCAGCAAGUUACUGCUAAAUACUGGCAUGUAAUGUUCACUUAGAACUCCGGGCAACUUUUCACUCUUUGUUUGGAGACAGAUUUUUAAGUAUUAUCUUGAAAGUUAGAUUUGGAUGAAAUUGUAUGAUUUCAAAGCUGGCAAACCUAUCGAAUGUCUUUUUGUUUUAGGAUUAUUUAAUAUAGUGAGAAUUCAAAGUGUAUUUCAAAUAAAAUAGAUAAAUUGGAAAUAUUCUCCAAGUCAGCUAAGCUUCCAACUCUAUUUAAAGCAACACUAUACGGUCAGGAACACAAACAUGUAUUUCUGACUCUGUAGUGUUAAAACCACCAUUUAGGAGGCUUGCCUUGCCCUCCCCUCCCUCCCCCUGCCCACUUAGAAAGGGUUCAAACUUACCUUAUUUCCAGCUUUCCACAGAUCUGCCGUUGUUGUCCACGCCCCCUAUCUGCCACUGUUACUGACAUAAACAGUAUUAAUAUCAGCCAAUCCAGUGCUUUCCCACAAUAAGAUGCAUUGAUCCAAUGCAGAGCGUGGAGAUGCUGAAUGUGCAGCACUGCCCCAGGAAGCACCUCCAGUGCUCACUCCUAGGUAUCCCUAGGCUUUAAUAUAAAUACUGCCUUUUCUCUGAAAAGACAAUGUUUACAACAAAAAGCCUGCAGGGUCUGACUACACUCACCAGAACUACUACAUUAAGCUGUAGUUGUUCUGGUGAUUAUAGUGUCCCUCUACGUCUAAAAUGUGACUUUUUCUUUUUCACAUUGAAUUUACAACAAUUCUCACUUGAGUGAAUAUACAAGAAUGUUCGCAUCUGUUUUAUUCCAUGCCAAGUCCUGCAUUUGUGACCAUGUAAUUUAGAAGUGCUUUUUAAACAUUCCUCUUUAAGUUGUCUAUUUUAUAGUAAGAGUAACCUACUGCUUUUUCUUUUGGAUUUUUUUUUUUUUCAGGAAGAAAACUACAACCAGUGCUUUCUACAUGAUGAUGAUUCUACUGACACAGAUGACUAUGAGGAUAGGCGGAGGGUUUUCGAUAUGCCCAACCCACCUGUCCACUGUCCACGUUUUACAUGAGCAAUUCCCUCUUUAAUGUGGGUGACAUUGAAUACAAAAAGCAUACUUUGCAGCAUUUUGUGCAGUAUUCUUGUGCUUUUUUUUUUUCCGUUUCUUUUUUAACUUUCCUUUCUCUGGUGGGUUUGCUGUUCAGAAUUGGAUCGUCUUGUGACAUCAUCAAUGUUCUGCGCUUCUGAAAAAAAACGCUGUCAUUGCCCAGGAUAACAGCUGGCCGCACUGCUUUUUAAUCCAUUUGUGUAGACGUGGUAGUCUGAUGAUUAUGUGAAAUUAUCUCCUUUUAAUUCAAUGAGAUACAGUUUUCUGCGUGGGGGGCGUUUUCUCAUAUCAUUGUUGAUAUUUACAGGGAUCGUCUAAUGGAUUCAAAUGAACGCAGACUUUUAACGUCUGUCUGCAGUGCACCAUUAUAGUGAAAACUAAUAUUGCAUUUAUAGGUUUAUACUUCUAAUCGUGAGAUAAGCAGGUCUUCUGUAAUACAGCAAUGUCCCAAAUGUGCAUUUGAUGCCUUUCAGCAAUUAUAUAGGCAUGGCUAAAAACAUCAUUCUAGGCUGAAAAUGUAAAAAUAAAAAACAAAAAACAAACAGACUUGUACUUUGUGUGUAACAUUGGAUGAAUAUUAACAUUUACUAUUCAGUCCUCUUUUUCCCAGAAUAUGAAACAUGUAAAGACAUUUGUCUGCUCAAUUCAAAAUAGACCCUUUUUGCAUAGCUUUUAAAGAUGUCUGAACUUGGAAUAUAAUAAAGUUCACAUAACAACAUGUCAGUUCUGAUGGCUGGGUGACUGCGUGACCGCUCACACAGAAAUGUAGUAUGCAGUCUUACACUGCCAUAAGAAAGUAAGUAAUUCUUGGAAAAAAGUCUUUCAAAACGUAGGCCUCAAUUUACUAUUUUGGAUAAGCUUUUCAAAUGAUUUGACAAAUUUGGAUAAGCUUUUUAAAUGAAUUUUUUUUUUUUCUCAAAUAAUAAACUAAACAAAAAUAUAUAUAUUAAAAUACCAAAAUAUUGCCUUCUAAUUUUGCCCUCUCUUGUCUGAAAAUGCUAUCUUUUGGGCACAUACACAGGUUGUCUCACUUCUCCCUUUAAAGUUGUAACCACCCCACUGUACAUUGGUGUCUUAACCCCUUAAGA